UGGGGAAUCUUGGACAAUGGGCGCAAGCCUGAUCCAGCCAUGCCGCGUGAGUGAUGAAGGCCUUAGGGUUGUAAAGCUCUUUUUGCCGGGGACGAUAAUGACGGUACCCGGAGAAUAAGUCCCGGCUAACUUCGUGCCAGCAGCCGCGGUAAUACGAAGGGGACUAGCGUUGUUCGGAAUCACUGGGCGUAAAGCGCACGUAGGCGGAUUUGUAAGUCAGGGGUGAAAUCCCGGGGCUCAACCUCGGAACUGCCUUUGAUACUGCGGAUCUCGAGUCCGAUAGAGGUGAGUGGAAUUCCUAGUGUAGAGGUGAAAUUCGUAGAUAUUAGGAAGAACACCGGUGGCGAAGGCGGCUCACUGGAUCGGUACUGACGCUGAGGUGCGAAAGCGUGGGGAGCAAACAGGAUUAGAUACCCCAGUAGUCCCUGAGCGGGCUGGCAAGGCGCAU
rnacentral:rRNA from 1 species